AUACGUAGGGGGCGAGCGUUGUCCGGAAUGAUUGGGCGUAAAGGGCGCGUAGGCGGCCCGGUAAGUCUGGAGUGAAAGUCCUGUUUUUAAGAUGGGAAUUGCUUUGGAUACUGUCGGGCUUGAGUGCAGGAGAGGUAAGUGGAAUUCCCAGUGUAGCGGUGAAAUGCGUAGAGAUUGGGAGGAACACCAGUGGCGAAGGCGACUUACUGGACUGUAACUGAGGCUGAGGCGCGAAAGUGUGGGGAGCAAACAGGAUUAGAUACCCUGGUAGUCCACACUGUAAACGAUGAAUGCUAGGUGUAGGGGGUAUCGACCCCUUCUGUGCCGCAGUCAACACAAUAAGCAUUCCGCCUGGGGAGUACGGCCGCAAGGUUGAAACUCAAAUGAAUUGACGGGG
rnacentral:rRNA from 1 species